rnacentral:rRNA from 1 species
UACGAAGGGGGCGAGCGUUGUUCGGAUUUACUGGGCGUAAAGGGCGCGCAGGCGGUCAUUUUUGUCGAGUGUGAAAGCCCCGGGCUUAACCGGGGAACUGCGUCUGAUACUGGAUGGCUUGAGUUCGGGAGAGGGAUGCGGAAUUCCAGGUGUAGCGGUGAAAUGCGUAGAUAUCUGGAGGAACACCGGUGGCGAAGGCGGCAUCCUGGACCGAUACUGACGCUGAGGAGCGAAAGCCAGGGGAGCAAACGGG